rnacentral:misc_RNA from 1 species
GUAGGUGAACCUGCGGAAGGAUCAUCAUUGAAUCCAACUCUACAAACCUUUGUGCACCGUAACUUACGCAGUUGUUGGCAGGUCAAGUCUUGUCUAGUACAAGUCUGGUUAGUUGUGCGAUGUUCCCUAGGCUCUUGGGCCUAGAUACACGCGUUCUGACGCCUGCCAGCAGCUCCUGUUCAACAAAAACUUUUGAUGUACCAAUGAAGUCUAAUGUAAAGUAAAUAAUAAUAAACAACUUUCAACAAUG